GGCUCGUUGGUCUAGGGGUAUGAUUCUCGCUUCGGGGCGAGAGUCCCGGGUUCAAAUCCCGGACGAGCCC
rnacentral:tRNA from 1 species